GACGAACGCUGGCGGCGUGCUUAACACAUGCAAGUCGAACGAUGAUCCGGCUUUUGGCCGGGGAUUAGUGGCGAACGGGUGAGUAACACGUGGGCGAUCUGCCCUGCACUUCGGGAUAAGCCUUGGAAACGGGGUCUAAUACCGGAUGGGACUGCUGGCUGCAUGGCUGGUGGUGGAAAGCUUCGGUGGUGCAGGAUGAGCCCGCGGCCUAUCAGCUUGUUGGUGGGGUGAUGGCCUACCAAGGCGGCGACGGGUAGCCGGCCUGGGAGGGUGACCGGCCACACUGGGACUGAGACACGGCCCAGACUCCUACGGGAGGCAGCAGUGGGGAAUAUUGCACAAUGGGCGGAAGCCUGAUGCAGCGACGCCGCGUGGGGGAUGACGGCCUUCGGGUUGUAAACCUCUUUCAGCAGGGAAGAAGCGUGAGUGACGGUACCUGCAGAAGAAGCACCGGCUAACUACGUGCCAGCCGCCGCGGUAAGAC
rnacentral:rRNA from 1 species